UCGAACGAGAAGUGGAGCAAUCCACGAGUAAAGUGGCGCACGAGUGAGUAGCACGUGACUAACCUACCCUGGAGUGGGGGAUAACUGAGGGAAACCUUAGCUAAUACCGCAUAAUACCCACGGGUCAAAGGAGCAAUUCGCCUUGGGAGGGGGUCGCGGCCGAUUAGUUAGUUGGCGGGGUAAUGGCCCACCAAGACUGUGAUCGGUAUCCGGCCUGAGAGGGCGCACGGACACACUGGAACUGAAACACGGUCCAGACUCCUACGGGAGGCAGCAGUGGGGAAUUUUGCGCAAUGGGGGAAACCCUGACGCAGCAACGCCGCGUGGAGGAUGAAGUACUUCGGUACGUAAACUCCUUUCGAUCGGGACGAUUAUGACGGUACCGGAAGAAGAAGCCCCGGCUAACUUCGUGCCAGCAGCCGCGGUAAUACGAGGGGGGCAAGCGUUGUUCGGAAUUAUUGGGCGUAAAGGGUGCGUAGGCGGUUUGGUAAGUCUUGUGUGAAAUCUACAGGCUCAACUUGUAGACUGCACGAGAAACUGCCGGGCUUGAGUGUGGGAGAGGUGAGUGGAAUUUCCGGUGUAGC
rnacentral:rRNA from 1 species